GAUGAACGCUGGCGGCGUGCCUAAUACAUGCGAGUCGAGCGAACAGAUGAGGAGCUUGCUCCUCUGACGUUAGCGGCGGACGGGUGAGUAACACGUGGAUAACCUACCUAUAAGACUGGGAUAACUUCGGGAAACCGGAGCUAAUACCGGAUAAUAUAUUGAACCGCAUGGUUCAAUAGUGAAAGACGGUUUUGCUGUCACUUAUAGAUGGAUCCGCGCCGCAUUAGCUAGUUGGUAAGGUAACGGCUUACCAAGGCAACGAUGCGUAGCCGACGUGAGAGAGUGAUCGGCCACACUGGAAGGUGACCAGGCUCCAGGGGACUGAGGGACGGAGCAGACGGGUACGUUACGCAAUAGGGGAAAACCUGACAGAACAACGCCGAGUGAGUGAUGAAGGUCUUCGGAGCGUAAAGCUCUGUUAUUAGGGGAGAACAAAUGUGUAAGUAGAUAUGCACGUCUUGACGGUACCUAAUAAGAAAGCAACGGCUAACUACGUG
rnacentral:rRNA from 1 species